rnacentral:rRNA from 1 species
UACAGAGGUCCCGAGCGUUGUUCGGAUUUAUUGGGCGUAAAGGGCGCGUAGGCGGUGCGGUAAGUCGGGUGUGAAAUCUCGGGGCUUAACUCCGAAACUGCAUUCGAUACUGCCGUGCUUGAGGACAGGAGAGGAGACUGGAAUUUACGGUGUAGCGGUGAAAUGCGUAGAUAUCGUAAGGAAGACCAGUGGCGAAGGCGGGGCUCUGGACAGUUCCUGACGCUGAGGCACGAAGGCCAGGGGAGCAAACGGG